rnacentral:rRNA from 1 species
CAAAAACAUGUCCUCUUGAUUAUAUUUUGAGGUCUGGCCUGCUCACUGAUAAAUUUAAAGAGCCGCGGUAUUUUGACCGUGCAAAGGUAGCAUAAUCAUUAGUCUUUUAAUUAAGGGCUGGAAUGAAUGGUUUGACGAGAAAUUAACUGUCUCUUAAUAAUUUAUAAAAUUUAACUUUUGAGUCAAAAGGCUUAAAUUUUUCUUUAGGACGAGAAGACCCUAUAGAGCUUAACAUAUAAUUUAUAUUUAUACAUUAGAUGAUUUUUAUAUAUUUAAUGAUAAUGUUUUGUUGGGGUGACAUGAAGAAUUAAUAAACUCUUCAUUAUAAAAUCAUUAAUUUAUGUUUAUUUUUGAUCCAUAAUUUAUGAUCAUAAGAUUAAGUUACCUUAGGGAUAACAGCGUAAUUGUUUUUGAGAGCUCAAAUCAACAAAGCAGAUUGCGACCUCGAUGUUGGAUUAAGAAAAAUUUUGGGUGC